AAACUAUCCAGCCAAGAGAACUUGCUGAGCAAGCCGCUGUGUGUCCAGACAAUGCAGCCGACAGAUCAGGAGAGGGAGAGCCUCUGAACGAACAGUGGAAAGACUCCCUGCAGACUGCGGAGGGGAGAGAAACAACCAGGAGGCAGAGCAGAGGAGAAAAAUACCAGAAUGAAAAAGAGCAAAAAGGAAUCCACGAAGUAGGCUCCUCACCCAGUGUGGAGCCUGACACAGGGUUCGAACUCACAACCCAGAGAUGAAGACCGGAGCCAAAAUGAAGAAGGGGAUACUUAACCGACUGAGCCACCCAGGGGCCCUUCAAAACAAAUUUUUAAAAAUCAACAUAUAAUGUGUUAUUUGUUUCAGGGGUACAGGUCUGUGAAUCAUCAGUCUUACAUAAUUCACAGCGCUCCCCAUAGCACCUACCCUCCCCCGCGUCCAUCACUCAGCCGUCCCUCAUCCCUCCCCCCUCC
rnacentral:lncRNA from 1 species